AGAAUUGGGAUUAAUACAUAUCUCUGCUAGUAUUUGGUUAAAAUUGAUGAUCUGUUUAUGGUUAAUAAACACAUGCAUAUUUUUCAAGCUGCUUGUUUGAGAAAACAGGGACUGCUAUCAUGUCCUAGAAUUUUGUGAUAUACUAAUAUUGGUCGGGAGGCUGUUGGUAAUAGUCUCCAACCAAGUUAUGUGGGCUGUGAAUUGAACCUUCUGAUAGUUUAUAUGGACUUUUUAAUCUUCUUACUUUUUCUUGGUUGGUAGUACACUAUUUUCUCACAUUUAGGAUCCUCUGCUUCUUGUUAGAAAUGUGGUGAAUCCCCCCUCCCCCUCUUUAUUUCUCUUACAAAUUUGCUUCUUAAUUUGGUUUUUCCUUUGUUUUAGUUAGCUUACAUUUUUUUUCUGUUUUUUUAUUUUUUAUUUUUUUUUUUAUUUUUUAUAUAAUUGUAGAAUUGUUCAGUGUUAUGGAUUCUUCGAUUGCUAUUGAUUCUACCAAUGCUAAAGAUUAUACGGAUGUACCUUUGGAAAAGGAUAAUGUACGUGUUUUCUUAUUUCCUCAUUUUAUGUUUUCUUAUUAAAUGCUUGCUGAUUUAAUGAAUUAUUAAAGAACUCACUAGUACAAAAUUGAGUUUGUGUAACACGUUUUGGUAACACUUUUUGAAAUGCAAAAUUAUUAGAUUUAUAAGUAACACUUUGGUAACAUUUUUUUAGAAUAUAACACUCAAUAUAACACUUUUAACAUGAGUAACAUUUCAAAGUAACAUUUUUAAAGUAGGUAACAUUAUAUGGUAAUACUAAGAGGUGUUACCUAAUUUUUGGAAAAAAAAUAAAAUAAAAUUAAACAUUCAAUUAAAAUUUCCAAAUUUAACAAUUCAUUUUUCGAGGUUUAUUAUUGUCGCCAAAAGAAAAUGAAAAAUAAUAUUUAGGCCAAAAUUAAUUUUGAAACCGCCAAAGAAAAAAAAAAAAAAAAAUCAAUCCUUAAACUUCCUCCUCCCGGCAGCAACGAAAAUUCUUGAACCUCUAAUCUUAUUUCUUCUCUCUAUCCUCACCCUCACCCUCUUUCUCUCUAUACCUUCACAAUUCAAACCUAGAAAUCAAGGAAUUCCUCGACCUUCGCCGUUUACAAAUUCGUAUGCGUUUCUCUAUAAAACGGAGCAGUUUCAGUCUAACACUCUAACACACAGAAGGUGAAGAAAAGAGCAUUAUCAGCUUACUCCUCCCCUCAUUAGAUUCAUCUUGUUUUGAUAUUAAUCCAUAAUUCAGUGUGUCCUAUGUACCAAUUUUUUUUGCCUUAGUUUUCCGGUGAUUUUGUGAAACAGUUCUUGUAAUAAUCAGAUUUACCAACCUAUAGAAGAAGAAGUUAAGGCGGAGAAAGAAAUCAAGCGGGAUCUUAUGAAAGAGUAGUGGAGCAGUGGUUAGUGUUUUGUGUAUGUAAUUUUAUCAAAGGGCCAUAUUCUCCACAUUUCACUAUGUCAUGUUUUGCUGAGCUUGAGUGAUGGCAUUUUUUUUUUCCCACAAAAUAGUUUUUUUCUUCUUAAAUAAUUUGAAGAAUAUGAAUGCAUGAAACAAAAAACACUGAACUCUGUGAGUGAUUUCUUGCUUGUAUGAUAGUCUGCAGAUUUUUGAAAUCUCUUCUUUUUUUUCAUGAUAUUUUAAAUCGUAUUUAGGAAGUUAUUUGAGCUUUCGACAAACUGAGGAAGUUGGAAUUGUUCUUUAAGGAUGAGAGCAAGCAUGGUCUUUCAGUUUCUAAUCUUUGCGAACUUGUUUAGCAUGCUGGCAAUGUGUUACCGAGGCUGUAAGUUUUAAUUAAUGGUUGGUGACAUUGGCUUUGCAAACUAUGAACUUUGAUUGAAUGAAUUCCUUUCAAGGAUGCUAUGGAGUUGAUUAGUACUUUGUUUUUGUAUAUGAUUAUAACCAGAACUCCUUUGACACUUGAACUAGACUUCUGAAAAAGAAUACCUAAAAACGCCCUUGAGAUAGAGUCUUACCAUUAUACCAAUUUGCCUCAAAGACUUAAUAAGUAUUAUGUUAACAGUUUUUCUUGAAGAAUAUCUUUUUUUACUUAUUAUUCUUCUUUGAUGAAGAUAUAAGAACUUUCCAUUACUUUUAUUAUGAGAUACUCAAAGCUUGUAGUUAUCUGAGUUUCACCUGGAAUCAGCACCUUUAGAGAAGAGGACCAUGUCAGGUCUUAGAUUAUUCAAUUACUGACUAUGGUCUAACAUGUAGUGUCUGGCUUGAUGUUAGCUUGUGAUAAUUUGUAAUGAUAUUUGAAGUAAAAAGGAUAUAAAUGAAAAUUUCCCUUUUUAAUCAAGAAAUUGGUUUGUGCACCUGUUGUUCAGGUGUUGUAUUAAUUUCAUAUGCUUAUAUUAUUGUGAUUUUUAUGCAAUUUGUGUUGAGAACCUUACUCAUCGAGGUAUCUGCAAGUCUGCAUUGGUGAGGUAACUCCUCUGAUUGGAUAAACAGUCUUGGAUUACUGCCGAUCCUUUUGAUUCUCUCUGCCUGAAAGUCACUAACUUGUUGAAAGACUACAAGAAACGUAAUUGCAUAUAUGGAGCUGCUGAUGUUUGGGGAGAUUAAUAAUACAAGAUCAACUUAGAUAAACAUUUUUCCUUUAUUUUUUUCCGGGAUUGAGAAAUUGGAGUUGUCUACUAUUAUUGCUGCCGCUAUCACACCGCUGACUGCUGCUGCUAUUACUGGUGUCUGCUAUUGUUACUGCUGCUUCUACUGUUUGCUGCUAUCGCUAUCUAUUGUUACUGCUAUCACUGUUACCGAAGUUGACUUUUUGAAUUUAAUUGGUCUAGAGACCGAAGUUGACUUUCUUUUUGUUUAGAUUAUUAGAUUGUUUAUCCAAACAAAAAAAAAUUGGUGUUAGAUAGAUUUUUAUUAUAAAAGAAAUAUGAAAUUAUAUCAAUUCAAAUUAUUGUCUAUCGUAUAUGUUAAUCUCACAUUCGUGGUUGUUGUACAUGUU